UUGAAUAAAGUGCACAAGAAGUUGGAUCCCUCCUGAUCAAUCCACUGGUUUUUGUUCCUUACCAGUAAAGGAUAUUUCAGCUGCUUAUUCAAAGAGAGGAUGAUACAGUAAGAAACUCAUACUGAUCAUCACUCCUGUGGCUAUGCAUCUGUAAAAAACUGACAGUGGCCAGUGUAAGCACAUGAGCUAGAUGGGAAUGAGCAUGGGACAUGGAGAAGUCCAGUAAAAUUCGUCCCUGUCUGCUCUACACGCGCAGAGGGCAGAGGAUUAAUUAAGGAGCUAUUUGACACCGUCAGGUAUUUAAUAUUUAAACCUCUGUUUCUAGAGGGCUUGUGUUUGGAGUAGUUAGGGAACAUUAUGAACGCUAUAAUUUUUUUGUCAGUGUUUUAAUGCAUAUGAUGCCCUUUGAGACCAUUCUGUAAAAGUAAAGUGAAUAAGGCGAUAACUGAGAUGUGAUUUAAACAAUGUAGGAGGAAGUAAAAGCACUGUCGACUGUGUGAAUUUGUAUAUUAGCGCUUACAAAUUCAGGCAGCUGUGUUUGGACGUGCGCUGGACGUGUCUUUGAGUAGGCUAUGUUGAAUGGCAGGGGCACGUAGGGAAAAAAAGAAUGCUACAUGACUAGUUAGGCUGGAAUGUGUGGUCUUAGCUGGUUUCAUAAAGGACAGCAAAGUGGUUUGUUGGGACGUGUUAUAGCGGUGCGUAAAGAUGCGGCUCCGUAGCUGUGAACUGAGUAUAACAGCACAUGUGUAGUAUGGAGAUGCGUUUUUUAGGAAUUAGAUAAGACAACCUACACCAGACAUAUUAUUCACACGCAGUGGCUCGUUUGAAUUUUACAAGUGGUCAUUCUGAGGACUCUGUUUGAGGGCUGAAGAGGAGAGUAUGUGUGAGAGAGAGCCAUGCAGUUCUACUGGUGAGGAGCGUCGCUGUCCAUCGCUACUGGUGCUGAAAUGUCCGCGCUCCGAGGGCCACGGCCACUCAGCCAAGCUCUUUACGCAUAUAUUUUAUUUACACCUAUUCACUCAGACUGUACGCUAUGUAAAAAUAAAUGUAUAAUUAAUUUAAUGCUUGCCAUUGACUGUUUGGAUCCGUAUCGAUACAGUAACUGCACAUUCUUAAAUAACGUCCAGGGCUUGUGUCCAGGGCACACGUUGUCCAAAAAAGUAAAUUCCCUGAGAGUUACGCAAAUAAUUUUAAAGUGUGAAUGGCACAAAAAGACGCAGAAACCAGGGGCAAUGCUGAGACUUGGACAUGUGAAUGCGUCGAUACUAUAAGAGGGGUGAGAAUAGGUGAACGUGCAUAUAGCGUUUCGGUGGAGUAUCUUUGCCUUUAUUAAUAUGAAUGAUUUUAUUUUGCAUAAAAAUAGGCACACAGUGAAACACGACACACACAGUGAUCACGUCUGAACGUCUGAACACACACGCGGUGUACACAAUAGAUAGCAGCAGCAAUGUUUCCAACAAUAUCGUAAUUUAACCGAGCCUUUUAAAAUAUAUAAUUAUAAUUACAGCCCACUUAUUAUCUAAUAUGUUUUAUUUAGUUAAGUUAAAAAUGGUGCUGAUUAAAUAUUGUGGUUUUGAAUAUGCAUAAAUGUGUGUAGCAGUGUUUCUGUGCACUCGUGGCUCUUAUGUGCAAAACAAAGGUAAAGACGUGAAUAAAACCUUUUAAUAACUCUGCCAGAAUUUGUUUAGGCUACUGUGCGAACUGUACAUUUAUUUCAAUGAGUGCAUUACAAAAUCUCAUUUGUGAAAAUGUGUUGUAUCUUUGUAUUUCUUUGGCGUCUUAACGCAGUAUUGGCGACGGUGUAUUAUGCCUUUAUCUAACAUAUCUAACAAAAUUGCUUUUUUGCUGCCUGUUUGUUUGCUGUCGUAUUGCUGAUCAAAUAAAAAAGCUUUU